rnacentral:lncRNA from 1 species
UCAACAAUAAGGAGGACAGAAGCAGCCCAGCUGUACCAACUCCCAGAGCUGCAGAGGCGCAGAAGCAUGCACCAACCCAAACCUGCAGCAAUAACAUAAGGUAACCAACUGCUUCCGCAAUGCAGUAACAGAGGAAAGGACUCCUCGGCUGAACCGAAAAGGGAACCCCAUUGUAGCUAAGUUCCACACCAGUAGCUCGCUCGAGACAGAGCACAGCUUGCCCGAGACCGAAUGACCGAGCAAGCACAGCAUAGAAUAGUAGACCCAAACAACGCUUGCCUGAGACCAACCUGGUUUUUACCCGAAACCGAGCACAGCAAACUGC